rnacentral:rRNA from 1 species
UUGGAGGGCAAGUCUGGUGCCAGCAGCCGCGGUAAUUCCAGCUCCAAUAGCGUAUAUUAAAGUUGUUGCAGUUAAAAAGCUCGUAGUUGAAUUUCGGGAUCAGAUUGUUGGUCGUGCCUCGGUACGUAUUGGCAUUAUUGGUUCCUACCUUCUGAAGAACCGCGAUGUCAUUAAUUUGGUGUCGUGGGGAAUCAGGACUGUUACUUUGAAAAAAUUAGAGUGCUUAAAGCAGGCUUUUGCUUGAAUAGAUUAGCAUGGAAUAAUAAAAUAGGACGGCAUGGUUCUAUUUUGUUGGUUUCUAGGAUCACCGUAAUGAUUAAUAGGGAUAGUUGGGGGCAUUAGUAUUCAAUUGUCAGAGGUGAAAUUCUUGGAUUUAUUGAAGACUAACUUCUGCGAAAGCAUUUGCCAAGGAUGUUUUCAUUAAUCAAGAACGAAAGUUAGGGGAUCGAAGACGAUCAGAUACCGUCGUAGUCUUAACCAUAAACUAUGCCGACUAGGGAUCGGACGAUGUUAAUUUUUUAAUGACUCGUUCGGCGCCUUACGGGAAAC